rnacentral:rRNA from 1 species
UACGUAGGGGGCUAGCGUUGUCCGGAAUCAUUGGGCGUAAAGCGCGUGUAGGCGGCCCGAUAAGUCCGCUGUGAAAGUCCAGGGCUCAACCCUGGGAUGCCGGUGGAUACUGUCGGGCUCGAGUCCGGAAGAGGCGAGUGGAAUUCCUGGUGUAGCGGUGAAAUGCGCAGAUAUCAGGAGGAACACCGGUGGCGAAGGCGGGUCUCUGGGCCGUAACUGACGCUGGAGGAGCGAAAGCAUGGGGAGCGAACAGG